rnacentral:rRNA from 1 species
UACAGAGGUCUCAAGCGUGUUCGGAUUCAUUGGGCGUAAAGGGUGCGUAGGUGGCGCCGUAAGUCGGGGUGUGAAAUUUCGGAGCUUAACUCCGAAACUGCAUUCGAUACUGCGGUGCUUGAGGACUGGAGAGGAGACUGGAAUUCAUGGUGUAGCAGUGAAAUGCGUAGAGAUCAGAUGGAAGGAACCAGUGGCGAAGGCGGGGUCUCUGGACAGUUCCUGACACUGAGACGAAGGCCAGGGGGAGCAAACGGG